AGGGGUAUAGUUCAAUGGUAGAAUGUCGGUCUCCAAAACCGAAGAUGUGGGUUCAACUCCUACUGCCCCUGCCA
rnacentral:tRNA from 1 species